rnacentral:rRNA from 1 species
AGAGUUUGAUCCUGGCUCAGAUUGAACGCUUGCGGCAUGCCUUACACAUGCAAGUCGAACGGCAGCACGGGAGCUUGCUCCUGGUGGCGAGUGGCGAACGGGUGAGUAAUAUAUCGGAACGUACCCUAGAGUGGGGGAUAACGCAGCGAAAGUUGCGCUAAUACCGCAUACGAUCUACGGAUGAGAGUGGGGGAUCGCAAGACCUCAUGCUCAUGGAGCGGCCGAUAUCUGAUUAGCUAGUUGGUGGGGUAAAGGCCUACCAAGGCAUCGAUCAGUAGCUGGUCUGAGAGGACGACCAGCCACACUGGAACUGAGACACGGUCCAGACUCCUACGGGAGGCAGCAGUGGGGAAUUUUGGACAAUGGGGGCAACCCUGAUCCAGCAAUGCCGCGUGAGUGAAGAAGGCCUUCGGGUUGUAAAGCUCUUUUGUCAGGGAAGAAACGGUGAGGGCUAAUAUCCUUUGCUAAUGACGGUACCUGAAGAAUAAGCACCGGCUAACUACGUGCCAGCAGCCGCGGUAAUACGUAGGGUGCAAGCGUUAAUCGGAAUUACUGGGCGUAAAGCGUGCGCAGGCGGUUAUGUAAGUCAGAUGUGAAAUCCCCGGGCUCAACCUGGGAAUGGCAUUUGAGACUGCAUGGCUAGAGUGUGUCAGAGGGGGGUAGAAUUCCACGUGUAGCAGUGAAAUGCGUAGAGAUGUGGAGGAAUACCGAUGGCGAAGGCAGCCCCCUGGGAUAACACUGACGCUCAUGCACGAAAGCGUGGGGAGCAAACAGGAUUAGAUACCCUGGUAGUCCACGCCCUAAACGAAGGUCUACUAGUUGUCGGGAACUUAAUUGUCUUGGUAACGCAGCUAACGCGUGAAGUAGACCGCCUGGGGAGUACGGUCGCAAGAUUAAAACUCAAAGGAAUUGACGGGGACCCGCACAAGCGGUGGAUGAUGUGGAUUAAUUCGAUGCAACGCGAAAAACCUUACCUACCCUUGACAUGUACGGAACCUCUGAGAGAUUAGAGGGUGCUCGAAAGAGAGCCGUAACACAGGUGCUGCAUGGCUGUCGUCAGCUCGUGUCGUGAGAUGUUGGGUUAAGUCCCGCAACGAGCGCAACCCUUGUCAUUAGUUGCUACGAAAGGGCACUCUAAUGAGACUGCCGGUGACAAACCGGAGGAAGGUGGGGAUGACGUCAAGUCCUCAUGGCCCUUAUGGGUAGGGCUUCACACGUCAUACAAUGGUACAUACAGAGGGCCGCCAACCCGCGAGGGGGAGCUAAUCCCAGAAAGUGUAUCGUAGUCCGGAUUGUAGUCUGCAACUCGACUACAUGAAGUUGGAAUCGCUAGUAAUCGCGGAUCAGCAUGUCGCGGUGAAUACGUUCCCGGGUCUUGUACUCACCGCCCGUCA